rnacentral:lncRNA from 1 species
AUGAGCCUCACAUGCUGCCUUCGAGAGCACAGGUGUCCUUUUCGCGGCCCCUGGAAGGAGCACGUGAACACCCUGUAUCGUGGCAGCAGCAAUGCAAGCGCCCGAGUCCUUUUUCCUGCUGUGCAGUCAGUUACCAGUCCAGGACAAUCAGAAAGAGCAAGUGUGCCCGAAGGUGCCUGCCAGGGAGACCAUGCUGAGUUUUGCAACAGGGAUCCGUGGCAUCCAAAGCAGCGAGUUUCUGUAACCACUGUGCAGUGUGUACAUGGGUGAGCUGGUGCAAGUCCUCGCGUGCCCCUAUAGCGACUGCACACGAUGCGAGGUGGGUGGCUGUGCCCAGCGUGAGCAGGCUGCUGCCAAGAAAUGUGGGCAGCCUGGCCAGUUUGCAGAGCGUUUCCCCUUUGCGUGGUUUGGACUGCGGCUGGGCUGGCCGCCAUGUUGCUGAGACGCUGGUCUUUUUGAGUUCCCUGUCAUUUGUCACACAGUAUACUGCUGAGGUUGAAUCCUAACAAGACAGAAACUUUGUAGGUAGGAAGUUCCAGAAUUCUGGAUAUUUUUUUAAAUUUGCUUAAAANUUUUUUUCCAGAAUUCGGGAGUUGGGGAUCGUGCCUGUUCCAAAUGGGACUGCAGUUCCUCAGAAGGAGCGGCUGUGUAGCCUGAGAGUUCUUCNGGAAUUAUCAUUGCCACUGCUGUGGCAAGAAGCAUCUAUUACAGCUUCAGCCNGGGUACCAGCUGCCAACCUAGGCAAAGCUGGUGGUCCCUGCCCUGGUAACCUCAUAUUUGGGUUGCUGCCNGUCAAAGUGCCCAUGCAGUCAACCAGGAGCUGCCACAACUCAAUGGCACCCAACACCAAGCACAAGGCACUCUAUGCAGGGCUUCCCUCNAACCUGGUCCAGAAGCUGCAACUGGUGUAAAAUGUGGUGGACCGGCUGUGGAGCGGAGCAUCCAUUCAGGCACACUUUACACCUCUGCGUAAGCAGCCUCACUGGUUGCCAGUCAGCUACUGGGUCAGAUUCAUGAGAUCAGGGUUCUUGCUGAAUCAUCUUCACUAAUAUUGACUAGUAAGAUUGCUGUGAUUUCAUUAGAGGUUCUACUGUGAGUAACACCAAUCACUGAACAUCUUCUUGCAGGGCCUUCCCUAUGGUGGCACCCAGCCCCAGGAGUUCUCUCCCUUCUGUUGUUCAUGAGGCACGUAUUUUUGUCUUUUAGGUACCUGUUGAAAAUUUACUUAUCCACCCAGGCAUACUCAGGCAUUCCCAAUGUGAAUUAAUAUCUGUCUCAUGACUCCUACCCAGUUUUUAAUAGUGUUUUUAUGUUCUACUGUUUUUAAACUUGGUUUAAAAUUUUACUGUAAACUGUUCUGAGAUUUUGAUUGGAAGAAGUGGUACAGAGAUGUUUCAAAUAGAUAAAUAAUCCUCUUACAGUUCAGGUAUUCUUAUUGCUGUUGGUUUGGGUUGCCUGCUUCUUACAUGGACAAUAAAACUGUAAUAGAUUCGCA